GAGUUUGAUCAUGGCUCAGAUUGAACGCUGGCGGCAUGCUUUACACAUGCAAGUCGGACGGCAGCGGGGUAGUGCUUGCACUACUGCCGGCGAGUGGCGAACGGGUGAGUAAUAUAUUGGAACGUACCGAGUAAUGGGGGAUAACCAAUCGAAAGAUUGGCUAAUACCGCAUACGCUCUGAGGAGGAAAGCAGGGGAUCUUCGGGCCUUGCGUUAUUCGAGCGGCCAAUAUCUGAUUAGCUAGUUGGUGGGGUAAAGGCCUACCAAGGCGACGAUCAGUAGCGGGUCUGAGAGGAUGAUCCGCCACACUGGGACUGAGACACGGCCCAGACUCCUACGGGAGGCAGCAGUGGGGAAUUUUGGACAAUGGGCGCAAGCCUGAUCCAGCCAUGCCGCGUGUCUGAAGAAGGCCUUCGGGUUGUAAAGGACUUUUGUUAGGGAAGAAAAAGGAGCGGUUAAUACCCGUUUCUGCUGACGGUACCUAAAGAAUAAGCACCGGCUAACUACGUGCCAGCAGCCGCGGUAAUACGUAGGGUGCGAGCGUUAAUCGGAAUUACUGGGCGUAAAGCGAGCGCAGACGGUUACUUAAGCAGGAUGUGAAAUCCCCGGGCUCAACCUGGGAACUGCGUUCUGAACUGGGUAGCUAGAGUAUGUCAGAGGGGGGUAGAAUUCCACGUGUAGCAGUGAAAUGCGUAGAGAUGUGGAGGAAUACCGAUGGCGAAGGCAGCCCCCUGGGAUAAUACUGACGUUCAUGCUCGAAAGCGUGGGUAGCAAACAGGAUUAGAUNACCUGGUAGUCCACGCCCUAAACGAUGUCGAUUAGCUGUUGGGCAGCUUGACUGCUUAGUAGCGUAGCUCCGGCGAGAAAUCGACCGCCAUGGGCGAGUAGUGCCCAACGAUUAAAAUUCAAAGGAAUUGUGGGGACCCCCCCAAGCCCCCCACCCCCCCCAUAAAUUCGUGGCACGCCACCCCCCCCCCCCCCCCCUGGGCGUGUUCCCCCCCCCCCCCCCCCCGAGGGGUGCAUUAGGGCGCCAAAAAACAAAUGGUGCAGGGCGGUCGUCAGCUAGUGUCGGGAGACGUGGGGUUAAGUCCCGCAACGAGCGCAACCCUUGUCAUUAGUUGCCAUCAUUCAGUGGGGCACUCUAAUGAGACUGCCGGUGACAAACCGGAGGAAGGUGGGGAUGACCCCCCCCCCUCAUGGCCCUUAUGACCAGGGCCCCCCCCCCCCCACAAUGGUCGGUACAAAGGGUAGCCAAGCCGCGAGGCGGAGCCAAUCUCAUAAAACCGAUCGUAGUCCGGAUUGCACUCUGCAACUCGAGUGCAUGAAGUCGGAAUAGGUAGUAAUCGCAGGUCAGCAUACUGCGGUGAAUACGUUCCCGGGUCUUGCACACACCGCCCGUC
rnacentral:rRNA from 1 species